UACGGGGGGAGCAAGCGUUGUUCGGAUUUACUGGGCGUAAAGGGCGCGUAGGCGGUCAGCACAAGUCAGUUGUGAAAUCUCCGGGCUUAACCCGGAAAGGGCAACUGAUACUGUGCGACUAGAGUGCGGAAGGGGCAACUGGAAUUCUCGGUGUAGCGGUGAAAUGCGUAGAUAUCGAGAGGAACACCUGCGGCGAAGGCGGGUUGCUGGGCCGACACUGACGCUGAUGCGCGAAAGCCAGGGGAGCGAACGGG
rnacentral:rRNA from 1 species